GACGAACGCUGGCGGCGUGCUUAACACAUGCAAGUCGAACGGAAAGGCCUGCAGCUUGCUGCGGGUACUCGAGUGGCGAACGGGUGAGUAACACGUGGGUGAUCUGCCUUGCACUUCGGGAUAAGCUUGGGAAACUGGGUCUAAUACCGGAUAGGACAGCUGUUUAGUGUCAGUUGUGGAAAGUUUUUUCGGUGCAAGAUGAGCUCGCGGCCUAUCAGCUUGUUGGUGGGGUAAUGGCCUACCAAGGCGUCGACGGGUAGCCGGCCUGAGAGGGUGUACGGCCACAUUGGGACUGAGAUACGGCCCAGACUCCUACGGGAGGCAGCAGUGGGGAAUAUUGCACAAUGGGCGGAAGCCUGAUGCAGCGACGCCGCGUGGGGGAUGAAGGCCUUCGGGUUGUAAACUCCUUUCGACAGGGACGAAGCGUAAGUGACGGUACCUGUAUAAGAAGCACCGGCUAACUACGUGCCAGCAGCCGCGGUAAUACGUAGGGUGCGAGCGUUGUCCGGAAUUACUGGGCGUAAAGAGCUCGUAGGUGGUUUGUCGCGUCGUCUGUGAAAUUCCGGGGCUUAACUCCGGGCGUGCAGGCGAUACGGGCUGACUUGAGUGCUGUAGGGGAGACUGGAAUUCCUGGUGUAGCGGUGAGAUGCGCAGAUAUCAGGAGGAACACCGAUGGCGAAGGCAGGUCUCUGGGCAGUAACUGACGCUGAGGAGCGAAAGCAUGGGUAGCGAACAGG
rnacentral:rRNA from 1 species